UCCACCUUGCGCGACUGGCGAAGUCAGUGGGUACUACCACGAGGAAGCGCAAGUUCAUUGGGCGUGAUAUUCGAUGCGCCUGCCGCUCGCCUGGGCAGCGAAU
ncrna:Cupriavidus metallidurans CH34 ZMP/ZTP riboswitch